rnacentral:rRNA from 1 species
UCCAGACUCCUACGGGAGGCAGCAGUGGGGAAUAUUGCACAAUGGGCGAAAGCCUGAUGCAGCGACGCCGCGUGAGUGAAGAAGUAUUUCGGUAUGUAAAGCUCUAUCAGCAGGGACGAAAAUGACGGUACCUGAGUAAGAAGCCCCGGCUAACUACGUGCCAGCAGCCGCGGUAAUACGUAGGGGGCAAGCGUUAUCCGGAUUUACUGGGUGUAAAGGGAGCGUAGACGGUUAUGCAAGUCUGGAGUGAAAGGCGGGGGCUCAACCCCCGGACUGCUCUGGAAACUGUAGAACUAGAGUGCAGGAGGGGUAAGUGGAAUUCCUAGUGUAGCGGUGAAAUGCGUAGAUAUUAGGAGGAACACCAGUGGCGAAGGCGGCUUACUGGACUGUAACUGACGUUGAGGCUCGAAAGCGUGGGGAGCAAACAGGAUUAGAUACCCGAGUA